ensembl:lncRNA
GGAACUUUGUUUUUUGAUUAAGAGCAAAUAUCGAGGGUGUUUUGCUUAAAUAUUACGCUUUAUAACAAAAAAAGCAUGAUUUUAUAUUAAAAUGUAUAAUUUGUGGUGCACUGUAUUGCGUUUAUCAUAAAUAUCGCACACUUCACUUUGUAACAGCCACCUUUUUGGAAUUUGAGGUCUCGCCCAAAAAUGGCUGUGGAGAAACAGUUACGAAGAUGUGUCGAUCUACUCACCUAAUUAAUGUGGCGCAUGCUCCAAAUUAAUCAAGAGUCCUCUGAUCGAGCCGGAGGACGUUUCUGUAAGGUGAGUGGAGGGCUGUGGAAGGAGAAGAGGAGGAAGAAGAGGAUUGUGGGCCAUCUUGGGGCAGUGACACUGAAGAUUCUUUGGACAAUGUUUCCCAGAUUCUCCAACUCAUCAGAGAAACAGCUGCUAUAUCAGAGAGAAGCUCUCUAUGGCGGGGAAAUGAGAGACAGCUCCUCCAUCACAUGACACGCGCUCUGAAGUCUGGGUUUACAACUGGUGCCUUUGUUGAACACAAUGUGGGUGAUUCCUGGGAGAUUUCAGAGGGACCGGGGGUGAAACAACAUGCCGAAUUUUAAAGUGAUAGUGCACCCAAAAAUGAAAAUUCUGUCAUCAAUUACUCACCAGAUUGUUCAUGCUGCUCUUUUACAAUGUAAGUGAAUGUUGACAAAAGCCUGUCAAGCUCCAGAAAUUACAAAGCCUCAUAAAAGUAGCUCAUAUGGCUUGUGUAGUAUAUUCCACUUCUAAAUUUUUGUCUGUUCCUUACACAAAGCUAUUGUUUGAGCCAUUUACGCUAACUUUAUGAUGUUUAUUGGUACUUUGGCAGCCCUUUAUCUCAUAUUUGGAAAAGAGUAAUGCACACAUGCUGCCUAACAUCUCCUUUUGUGUUCCACAGAAGUCAUACGGGAUUGGAACUACAUGAGUAAAUGGUGAUUGAAUUUUCAUUUUCAGCUGAACCAUUCCUCUAACCCCAAGAGCAGAGAGUGAGAAUACACUUGUGUCUGUGGAAUUAAAUGCAGUGUUGGUCACUGAUCGCACAACACACUAUGUUCUUCUUGGUUCUACCCUAUCUAGACAACCGUUCCUCUUAUUACUUCUUUAAAGCUACCUGAGUUCACACUUAAGUCUCUAGGGUCCCCAAACCUGAACAAGUACUGAGGCAGGAGUGUCUGCAUAAGCUUUGAUGCUCAGUUUCAUAUUCUCUAACAUUAAAAAUGUGCAUAUUAUAACAGGCUCCUUUUCCCUGGCCUCUCUGUUCUGAUAUUAUACACAGAUUUGAAGAUCAAGAUCUUUUAACCACACCUUCCAUCACUCAAGAAAACUUGAUGCAGGUCUUUGUCUUUCUGCCAGUGUUCCUGUAAAGUUGGCCUUCCUUGUUUGUUUUCCCCUCUUAUGUUCUUUGUUAGUACCUUUUUAGCUGUUUUGCUUAAGCCACAGUGAGAUAAGGCCCAUUUACACCAAGCACGAUAACUUUAAAUGAAAAUAUAAUAAUCCAGCCAAUCAAAAUCGAGUCGACUUUAAGAGCUCGAGCAUGUAAAGCAGAAGAUGUGUGCUUAAAAUAAACAGAAUGUUAUAUAUUUUAGUUGUCUUUUU